rnacentral:tRNA from 1 species
GGAGAGGUGUCCGAGUGGCCUAAGGAGCGGCAUUGGAAAUGCCGUGUAGCCGUUUACGGCUACCGGGGGUUCGAAUCCCCCCCUCUCCG